AUAAAAGGGACAAAUUCAUUCACAUUGGAAAGUGACUCAGUCAUCAUUCAGGAAACUGGACAUGGAGUGAAUGUCACUGUAACAGCAGACAGCACAACCAUACCAGCAGGGGGCAGUGUGACACUGACCUGUGAUGUGAAACACUCUGCUGACUUAAAAUAUGAGUGGUUCAGAGAAACCUCAUCUGCAGUGAAGUCCACAGAAGCUGUUGGAUCAGAUAAAGUGAUCAGGAUCUCUAAAGGAGGAAAAUACCAAUGCAGAGGAUGGAGAACAGACACAAACUCACUCAUAGCACAAAGUGAUCCAGUCAUCAUUCAGGAAACUGUUUUGGCUGCUGUGAAACUGCAGUACAGCUGGUCUCAGAUGUUCACUGGUGAGACAAUCACUGUCAGAUGUGAGAUUCAGGGAGGUGAAGGAAAGGUGUGGAAAUAUGAAUGGACAGCACCCAACACAAACAGCCCUCCAACAUCCAGUGAAUACAGGAUCAGCAGAGUUUCAGUGUCCCACAGUGGAGACUACAGAUGUCGGGGUAGCAGUGACUAUCUCUUAACAGGAUGGAGUGAUGCCUUCAGACUGACAGUUUCAUAUAAACCCAGGGCCACACUGACAGCAGCAACAACAAUCAUACCAGUAGGGGGCAGUGUGACACUGACCUGCUCUGUGCAGAGCUCUGAUGGAUGGAAAUAUGAGUGGUUCAGACGAAUCGAAAGAACCUCUAAAGUUCCAAUCAGAGAUCAACAAAACAGAGAUAUCAGAGUAUCUCAAGGAGGAAUCUACAGCUGCAGAGGAACAAGAGGAAACCCAGUUUACUACACUGAUGAUGCCACCAUUGAGAUAACCUAUAAACCAAAGGCCACACUGAGAGCUGAUAACACAGCUGUUCCAGUAGGGGGCAGUGUGAACCUGACCUGCUCUGUGAACCCAUCAUCAUCAUCUGGAUGGAAAUACUACUGGUACAGAGGUGGAAAUUACACUGAACCCCUGACCACACAAGAUGCAGUUUUCCACUCAAAUGGACAAAUCAGUGUCUCACAGGAAGGACUCUACAGGUGCAGAGGAGGAAGAGGAAACCCAGUUUACUACACAGAGGACAGCCAAGAAGUUCAGAUUAACAAAACUGUAACUGUGUCAGGAGCUGACAGCUCUUCAUCUCCUGUGUGGUUGAUUGUUGGACUGGUUUGUGGAGUCUCUCUCAUUAUUAUUCUCCUGCUCUUGUUGUAUCGCUGCAGACAGUCCAAGUGUGCAGAUAAACCCCCAGAUGUCAUUUACUCUAAUAUUGAACUUGAAAACUUUGGAAUUAAGCGGAAGCAUCAUAAACCAGAGCAGAGUGCUGUUUACACUAAUGUGAAGACGGGAGCUGCAGAGGACAGUCUGAUGUAUGCUGAGGUCAAACAGCCCAAAAGAGAAAAAGCCAAGAAAAACAAAGGAAAAUCAAGUCCUGCAGCUGAUGCAGCAGUUUAUUCUGAAGUCACAUCAGGAAGCUCUCUCAGUCAGUGAGGAGAGCUGUAGCAGCAAAGCCAAGAAGAAGCUUUUUAUGAAGCCACUCUUGCUCCUCUGCUCCCCAAAUAUCAGACAUGCUCAGCUUUAUGUACAGUUACAAUAUUACAUCAUAAUAUCAUAUAGACAUAUUGCUGUCUUUUAGUAUAAAACAAAUGUAGGUGUAUUCCUAUUUAAUAUUCAUGCUCUUUAUAUUCAGUUAUUUGUAAAGAUUUUGUAAUAAACCUUGAAUGUAUCUAACAUGUUCCAACAGCAGUGAGAACAAAGUGUGAAAUAUGUGAUCUUUAGUAUCUGACAGCACAACUUAAAGUCAGUGUUUGCAGUGUUUCACAAGUAAAUA